AAUCUAAAAGUCUCUCUCAGUCCCUCGCUCUCCCUCCCGCUCACCCUCUCUCCUCCGGCGAGUUCAUCGGCCACCGGAAAUCCUCUCUCAGUCCCUCGCUCUCCCUCCCGUGCUCACCCUCUCUCUCCUCCGGCGAGUUCUUCGGCCACCGGAAAUCCUCUCUCACUCCAUCGCUCUCCCUCCCGCGCUCACCCUCUCUCUCCUCCGGCGAGUUCUUCGGCACCGGCGAAGCUGUCCGUCCGUCGCAAGGUUCCGUCGAUUGUCUCUCUCACCGGCGAAGCUCCUGUCUCUCUCUCACUCCGGCGAAGCCGAAGGCUUUCUCUCUCCUCCUCCGGUGGUAAGCGAAAAAGUUACUCAUCAUAGCUGCCUAAAUGGACAAGGGGGGUGAAGUUGAAUCUUUGUGUACACGUAUUCCAAAUGAUGAAGAUUUUUUGGAGCAAGAUUGCCCUCAAAUAGAUGUGGAUGAAGAAGUUGAAGAACCAAAUGUCUUAAGGAUCACUUGUUCGGAUGAAGAGUUGGAUGGGGAUGAAAGUUCGAAUGAAGAGUUGGAUGGAGAUGAAAAAUUUGAAGAAACAGAGAUGAUCGGUGGGAAUGAAAAAGUUGAAGAACCAAGGAUGAUCGGCAUCUUUUAACUUUGUAGCAUUCUGAUACAUGUCAUUAUGUCCAAGAGCAUGUAAAAUUUAAUAUAGUUUAUGCCUUUGAUGUUGGCAUUUUUUUUAGGGAAUUGGCAUGUAACUGUCUUUUUGGGAAGUUGCCAUGUGACUUUGUCUUUUUGAGAAAUUGUCAUGUAACUCUUUAAAAGGAUUGUGUUGGGAGCAACGUGGAAGAGCUUUGUCAUUUAUGUUUAUUGUAUAUUUCUUACUGUUUAUGAAAGUUUUUAUAGGGUUCUUUGA